AACGAACGCUGGCGGCAGGCCUAACACAUGCAAGUCGAACGCUCCGCAAGGGGAGUGGCAGACGGGUGAGUAACACGUGGGAACCUACCUCGAGGUGCGGAACAACCAAGGGAAACUUUGGCUAAUACCGCAUGUGCCCUUAGGGGGAAAGAUUUAUCGCCUUGGGAUGGGCCCGCGUCGGAUUAGCUAGUUGGUGUGGUAAUGGCGCACCAAGGCGACGAUCCGUAGCUGGUCUGAGAGGAUGAUCAGCCACACUGGGACUGAGACACGGCCCAGACUCCUACGGGAGGCAGCAGUGGGGAAUAUUGGACAAUGGGCGCAAGCCUGAUCCAGCCAUGCCGCGUGUGUGAUGAAGGCCUUAGGGUUGUAAAGCACUUUCGCCGAUGAAGAUAAUGACUGUAGUCGGAGAAGAAGCCCCGGCUAACUUCGUGCCAGCAGCCGCGGUAACAC
rnacentral:rRNA from 1 species